rnacentral:tRNA from 1 species
UAGCCUUGUGGUUAAGGCUAUGGAUCGCCAAUCCGGAAACGGCGGGUUCGAUUCCCGU